rnacentral:rRNA from 1 species
CGAAGGAUCCAAGCGUUAUCCGGAUUCAUUGGGUUUAAAGGGUGCGUAGGCGGGUUUAUAAGUCAGUGGUGAAAGCCGAUCGCUUAACGAUCGAACUGCCAUUGAUACUGUAGACCUAGAGUACAGAUGAUGUUGGCGGAAUGUGACAUGUAGCGGUGAAAUGCAUAGAUAUGUCAUAGAACACCGAUUGCGAAGGCAGCUGACAAAACUGUAACUGACGCUGAUGCACGAAAGUGCGGGGAUCAAACAGGAUUAGAUACCCUGGUAGUCCGCACAGUAAACGAUGAUAACUAGUUGUUUGCGAUAUACAGUAAGCGACCAAGCGAAAGCGAUAAGUUAUCCACCUGGGGAGUACGCUCGCAAGAGUG